rnacentral:rRNA from 1 species
AACGGCCGUACCAUGCUGAAUAUACCGGUUCUUGUUAGAUCACCGAAGUUAAGCAUCAUUGGGCGCAGUCAGUACUUGGGUGGGUGACCGCCCCAGGAACACUGCGUGCCGUU